ACUCUUUGCAUAUCACGGUUCUUUCCCAAGAACCGUGAGGACAGAGCCGCCCUACUCCGAACCUUCAGCUUUCUUGGCUUUGAGAUUGUGAGACCCGGGCAUCCCCUCGUCCCCAAGAGACCCGACGCUUGCUUCAUGGUCUACACGCUGGAGAGAGAGGACCCGGGUGAGGAGGACUAGGUGCCAGCCCUGCCCAGUGUCCCUGCGCCCUCUCCCGGGUUUGUCCACAUGUCGUGAUUGUGCAGAAUAAACGCUCACUCCAUUAGCGGGGUGCUUCUUCGAGCUGAAUGCUGUGUUUGUCACACUCAAGUGUUGGCUUUAAUUCUAAAUAAAGGUUUCUAUUUUACUUUUU